rnacentral:rRNA from 1 species
UUCUGGCUCAGGAUGAACGCUAGCUACAGGCUUAACACAUGCAAGUCGAGGGGCAGCAUUGGAGUAGCAAUACUCAGAUGGCGACCGGCGCACGGGUGAGUAACACGUAUCCAACCUGCCGCUUACUCGGGGAUAGCCUUUCGAAAGAAAGAUUAAUACCCGAUGGUAUAAAGAGUUCGCAUGUUCUCUUUAUUAAAGAAUUUCGGUAAGCGAUGGGGAUGCGUUCCAUUAGAUAGUUGGCGGGUAACGGCCCACCAAGCCUACGAUGGAUAGGGGUUCUGAGAGGAAGGUCCCCCACAUUGGAACUGAGACACGGUCCAAACUCCUACGGGAGGCAGCAGUGAGGAAUAUUGGUCAAUGGACGAGAGUCUGAACCAGCCCAAGUAGCGUGAAGGAUGACUGCCCUAUGGGUUGUAAACUUCUUUUAUAAGGGAAUAAAGUGAGGGACGUGUCCCUUUUUGUAUGUACCUUAUGAAUAAGGGUCGGCUAACUCCGUGCCAGCCGCCGC